rnacentral:lncRNA from 1 species
AAAUAAAUAAAUAAUCACACGGGCAAGUCGUGCAAUUAAUUAUUAAUGGCUUGUGCAAUUUUGGCACAUUUUUCAAACAUCACUCGUAGUGUUAAUCAUUAAUUGCACUCCUUCCCGUGUGAUUACCUAUACUUAUAUAGCAUUGACAUUUAUAUUAUUACAGUAAACUAUAAUUGCCGAUGUUUUAUGAUUAUUGUACAUUAUUUUUGGUGCCCCCUAC